UACGUAGGUGGCAAGCGUUGUCCGGAUUUACUGGGCGUAAAGAGCGCGCAGGCGGUCGUUCAAGUCGCGUGUGAAAGCCCCCGGCUCAACUGGGGAGGGUCACGCGAUACUGAUCGACUGGAAGGCAGGAGAGGGUAGUGGAAUUCCCGGUGUAGUGGUGAAAUGCGUAGAUAUCGGGAAGAACACCCGUGGCUAAGGCGGCUCUCUAGUACGGUACUGACGCUGAGACGCGAAAGCGUGGGGAGCGAACAGG
rnacentral:rRNA from 1 species